rnacentral:tRNA from 1 species
CCCUCGUUAGUAUAGUGGUGAGUAUCCCCCUGCCUGUCACGCUGGAGACCGGGGUUCGAUUCCCCCGACGGGAGG